rnacentral:rRNA from 1 species
UACAGAGGCGGCGAGCGUUGUUCGGAUUUACUGGGCGUAAAGGGCGCGUAGGCGGCCCCGUGUGUCGCGUGUGAAAGCCCCGGGCUCAACCCGGGAAGUGCGCGCGAAACUGCGGGGCUCGAGCGGAGGAGGGGAGAGCGGAAUUCAUGGUGUAGCGGUGAAAUGCGUUGGUAUCAUCAGGAACACCGGUGGCGAAAGCGGCUUACUGGGUCUCUUCUGACGCUGAGGCACGAAAGCUAGGGUAGCGAACGGGAUUAGAUACCCUGGUAGUCCCUGA